UAAGCCCAACACAUUUCUGUGGAAAAUUUAAAGGUGUGAAUGUUUGAGAAGUUUAGAUGAACAUUUUAGAUUCACACCCCCAUCUCCACCUGUUGAAAUAUUUCUCCUUUUAGGCUUCUCUCCAAAGCUACUUUUCCCUGAAGACUUCCUGGAUUCCCAUAAAAUGGGGUUCAGCCGCCCCUAAUGCCCGUGGCCAUUUUGUGGGAGGGAAUCCUGCUUAAAACACUGCUUUGCCCAAGGACUGUGAUUGGACUUGAUCAAGACUCUUGACUGCAGAAGAAGUCUACGAAUACGAUUUAAUUGUAAAUCAUGGCUAAAGAACUUGCCAGCAGACACUUGGCCUGCCAAUGGUAGCACUGGAUGUGCGGUGCUGGCUUGGGACAGGUGAUGAAGGAUGGGGCUCGCAUUUCAACAUCGGUCUCCAGCAGAUUCACCAGGCACUGUAAGCCACACAAGAGGAAAAAGUAGAGAAACUUCUCAAGGAGGGCAUUCAGUUUCACCCAGACAAUAUGUAAGUUCUCUUAGUUGAUGCUCUACAUCUCUAUUAGCUUUUUUUUUUUUUUAGACUUAUUUAUUUGAGAGAGAGAGAGAGAGAGCAAGUUGAGGGAGGAACAGGGGGAGAGAGUGCAUCUCAAGCAGACUCCCCAUUGUGUGCAGAGCUCAACGUGGGGCUGGAUCCCAAGACCCUGAGACCAUGACCUGAACUGAAACCUAGAGUCGGAGUCGGAUGCUCAACCACUGAGCCACUCAGGUGCCCCUAUGUCCAUAUUAGGUUUUGAGGGUGGCUGUAACAAAAUUCCAUGUGUGCUGGGGAGGUUUAAAUAGCAGAAAUGUAUUUCAUAUGGUUCUGGAGGCUGGCGGUCUGAGAUCAAGAUGUUGGCAGAAUUAGUUCCUUCCGGGCUGUGAGAGAGACCCUGUGCAAAGCCUCUCUCCCUGGCUUGUAGGUGGCCAUCCCUCCCUCCCCACAAUCCACCUGUCCCUUCCCUUCACAUAUUCCUUCUGUGCCUGUCUGUGUCCAAACUCCCCCCUUUGUAAGGACAAUGGUGUUAUUGGAUGAGGGACCACCUCAUCUUAACUCAUUAUAUCUGUAAUGACCCUAUCUCCAAA
rnacentral:lncRNA from 12 species